GUGGGGAAUAUUGGACAAUGGGCGCAAGCCUGAUCCAGCAAUGCCGCGUGAGUGAAGAAGGUCUUCGGAUUGUAAAGCUCUUUUGGCGGGGACGAUGAUGACGGUACCCGCAGAAUAAGCCCCGGCUAACUUCGUGCCAGCAGCCGCGGUAAUACGAAGGGGGCUAGCGUUGCUCGGAAUGACUGGGCGUAAAGGGCGCGUAGGCGGAUUGUACAGUCAGACGUGAAAUUCCUGGGCUCAACCUGGGGGCUGCGUUUGAUACGUAUAGUCUUGAGUGAGGAAGAGGGUUGUGGAAUUCCCAGUGUAGAGGUGAAAUUCGUAGAUAUUGGGAAGAACACCGGUGGCGAAGGCGGCAACCUGGUCCUUUACUGACGCUGAGGCGCGAAAGCGUGGGGAGCAAACAGGAUUAGAUACCCGAGUAGUCC
rnacentral:rRNA from 1 species